UAAAGAUUCAUCGCUGAUAGAUAGGCAUGCGUUCCAUUAGGCAGUUGGCGGGGUAACGGCCCACCAAACCGACGAUGGAUAGGGGUUCUGAGAGGAAGGUCCCCCACAUUGGUACUGAGACACGGACCAAACUCCUACGGGAGGCAGCAGUGAGGAAUAUUGGUCAAUGGGCGUAAGCCUGAACCAGCCAAGUCGCGUGAGGGAUGAAGGUUCUAUGGAUCGUAAACCUCUUUUAUAAGGGAAUAAAGUGCGGGACGUGUCCCGUUUUGUAUGUACCUUAUGAAUAAGGAUCGGCUAACUCCGUGCCAGCAGCCGCGGUAAUACGGAGGAUCCGAGCGUUAUCCGGAUUUAUUGGGUUUAAAGGGUGCGUAGGCGGCCUUUUAAGUCAGCGGUGAAAGUCUGUGGCUCAACCAUAGAAUUGCCGUUGAAACUGGGAGGCUUGAGUAUGUUUGAGGCAGGCGGAAUGCGUGGUGUAGCGGUGAAAUGCUUAGAUAUCACGCAGAACCCCGAUUGCGAAGGCAGCCUGCCAAGCCAUGACUGACGCUGAUGCACGAAAGCGUGGGGAUCAGACAGGAUUAGAUACCCUGGUAGUCCACGCAGUAAACGAUGAUCACUAGCUGUUUGCGAUACACAGUAA
rnacentral:rRNA from 1 species